GCUGUGUGUUCCUACACUGUUAGAGCGUGGUGCUGAUAAUGCCGAGGUUGCAGGUUCAAUCCCUGCACAGCUACA